rnacentral:rRNA from 1 species
AGAGUUUGAUCAUGGCUCAGGAUGAACGCUAGCGGCAGGCCUAAUACAUGCAAGUCGGACGGGAUUGAGGUGCUUGCACUUCAUGAGAGUGGCGCACGGGUGCGUAACACGUAUGUAACCUACCCAUAUCAGGGGGGAUAGCCUCUCGAAAGAGAGAUUAAGCCCGCAUAACAUUAAGACACGGCAUCGUGAUUUAAUCAAAUAUUUAUAGGAUAUGGAUGGGCAUGCGGAACAUUAGCUAGUUGGCGAGGUAACGGCUCACCAAGGCUACGAUGUUUAGGGGAUCUGAGAGGAUGACCCCCCACACUGGUACUGAGACACGGACCAGACUCCUACGGGAGGCAGCAGUAAGGAAUAUUGGUCAAUGGGCGGAAGCCUGAACCAGCCAUGCCGCGUGCAGGAAGACGGCCCUACGGGUUGUAAACUGCUUUUAUACCGGAAUAAACCCUUUUACGUGUAAGAGGUUGAAUGUACGGUAAGAAUAAGGAUCGGCUAACUCCGUGCCAGCAGCCGCGGUAAUACGGAGGAUCCAAGCGUUAUCCGGAUUUAUUGGGUUUAAAGGGUGCGUAGGCGGCCUAUUAAGUCAGGGGUGAAAGACGGUAGCUUAACUAUCGCAGUGCCUUUGAUACUGAUGGGCUUGAAUGUACUUGAGGUAGGCGGAAUGUGACAAGUAGCGGUGAAAUGCAUAGAUAUGUCACAGAACACCAAUUGCGAAGGCAGCUUACUAAAGUAUGAUUGACGCUGAGGCACGAAAGCGUGGGGAUCAAACAGGAUUAGAUACCCUAGUAGUCC